GCCGCCGUAGCUCAGUGGUAGAGCAUCGGACGCAUCAUUGGAAGGUCGCAGGUUCGGUCCCUGCCGGCGGCA
rnacentral:tRNA from 1 species